rnacentral:lncRNA from 1 species
ACUAGCUUGCAUUCCGGUCUAAGCGAUAAAUGGUGGACCACCAUGUCAGUGUCUAACCCAGGCAUAUUCUCAUUCAUAAGACCAUGCGAAGACGUCUUUGUAUUCCCUAAGCAACUGAAUAAGCUGUGUCUUCACUUCUUCUGGCAACGAUGCCCCGAUUUUUACCUCUUUUAUGUCCCCAUCUUCCCCAGAUUCUAAGGAAUGAAUCUGGGGGUUCAAUUCCUUCUUCAUCGGUGUAGCUGAGUUUCAACAGUUUAGUUUGAGCAUACUAACUUUAAUCGAUCUGAAUUAUAGCACAAGAACCUGUAAUAAUAGAUAAAAGACAGAGAUUAAUGGAAGUGCUUGGAAUGUGGUGAUUGUGGACAACUGUAUGAAGGAAAUGGAAAUGGAAACAAGUGCAUUCAUAGAAAUUGAUGCAUCACCCUCUUAGAGGUCACUGGCUACACCUCUGGAGUACACCUUUGAUACAUCUUUACACAGAGUUCUGGGGGGAGCCUGGUGUUAUCUCCCAGUUGUUGAUUGGAGCCCAUGCGGGGUCAGGAGUUCACUCUGAAAAAUGAGAGACUAUCAACUGCGCAACAGUCUUCAAAUCGAGGGUGCAUUCAUCAAACAAAUCUUGCACCUUGCAUUUCAGCGGUCCACACUUGUCAGGAGAAUGGCCAACAAUCCCCAUAUGAUAGUCACACUAGGCAUUGGGAUCAUAUGUCCUUGAAAGGGGGUUCGGUGUAAACUUGGCUGCAAUUGGCUCCAUAUAAUUGUUCUCAAGUAGCAAUGGCAAGAGUUCAAACAAGGUGACUGGUAGUGAGGUUCAGUCUCGUUUCUUCCUCUCAUCCUUCCUUGGUCGGCUUGGUUGCAUAAAGAAGGUGCCAUGUGGAUUUUGAAAUGCCCCAUAUUCGUCAGCAUGAAUAACCAUUUGAACCCCAUCUUCUUCAUCUUCAAUGGAAUCCCUCAUCUCUUGGACAGUUUUCUUUUGCAAUAGUGCAGGGAGCUCAGCUGCUGGGUGGUCUGAGCUGGUGGUGCUGACAGUGAGCCCAUCAGUAAGUUGAUCAGAAAGUUCUUCCAUAGAAUCUUCACUCAAGGCAUCGAAAGUACUUCUAGGUUCCAGAAUGUCAACAACAACACUCCGGUCCUUUCCAUGGGUGACUCGUAUUUCUCCUCUCCUCAAUAGGUUCUCAAUCUCAAGUCUCAACUCGAAACAGGUUUCAAUACAAUGCCCCCUUUAGUUCUUGUGGUAGAGGCAGACUCUCUUUGGAUCAUGGAAAAGGGUCUUUGCUCGUUCUUCUUUGGCUCUUGGGGUAAUGUAUCUAUAGUCAAUGAGAGUGGGGUACACUGAGGAAAUUGGGACUGGGAGAAUCGGAGUGACAAGUUCCUUCUUCGUUGGAGUUCUUAUAAUUCUGGGCCCUUUCCCCUCUUUCGAUUCCAAUGGAGGUGCUUCAACAAUGAUGAAACCUAGC